rnacentral:rRNA from 1 species
UACAGGGGGUGCAAACGUUGCUCGGAAUCAUUGGGCGUAAAGCGCACGUAGGCGGUUCGUUAUGUCGGAUGUGAAAGCCCUUGGCUUAACCGAGGAAGUGCAUCCGAAACUGGCGAGCUAGAGUACUAAAGAGGAUCGCGGAAUUCCCGGUGUAGAGGUGAAAUUCGUAGAUAUCGGGAGGAACACCGGUGGCGAAGGCGGCGAUCUGGGUAGAUACUGACGCUGAGGAGCGAAAGCGUGGGGAGCGAACAGG